rnacentral:rRNA from 1 species
UGCGUAGGCGGCUUUCUAAGUUGGAUGUGAAAACUCUGGGCUCAACCCAGAGCCUGCAUCCAAAACUGGAGAGCUAGGGUUCUGGAGGGGAAAGCGGAAUUCCUGGUGUAGCGGUGAAAUGCGUAGAUAUCAGGAGGAACACCGGUGGCGAAGGCGGCUUUCUGGACAGAUACCGACGCUGAGGCACGAAAGCUAGGGGAGCAAACA